rnacentral:rRNA from 1 species
AAGCGGUGGAUGAUGUGGUUUAAUUCGAUGCAACGCGAAAAGCCUUACCCACCUUUGACAUGGCAGGAAUCCCGAAGAGAUUUGGGAGUGCUCGAAAGAGAACCUGCACACAGGUGCUGCAUGGCUGUCGUCAGCUCGUGUCGUGAGAUGUUGGGUUAAGUCCCGCAACGAGCGCAACCCUUGCCAUUAGUUGCUACGAAAGGGCACUCUAAUGGGACUGCCGGUGACAAACCGGAGGAAGGUGGGGAUGACGUCAAGUCCUCAUGGCCCUUAUAGGUGGGGCUACACACGUCAUACAAUGGCCGGUACAGAGGGUAGCCAACCCGCGAGGGGGAGCCAAUCCCACAAAGCCGGUCGUAGUCCGGAUCGCAGUCUGCAACUCGACUGCGUGAAGUCGGAAUCGCUAGUAAUCGCGGAUCAGCAUGUCGCGGUGAAUACGUUCCCGGGUCUU